ACAACCUAUACCAAUGGAUCUCUAGGCUCUGAUGUCGAUGACAAACGUAGCAAAGCACGAAAUCUUAGAUGAAAUGCAGAGCAUAUGAAUGAUCGA
rnacentral:rRNA from 1 species